AAUAUUGGGUCAAAGCAGAAUUUAGAGGUGUGCAGCAAAACAUGCUGAAUUUGCUCCAAGGACAUCAUUUUACUGCUGUCUUGCCCUAACUGGAAUUGUCCGUUCUUCCGAGUUUUGACAACUUGUUUCUUUCUACACAGUGGAUAUGUUUGGUCACCACAACUGUUGAAGAGGCCAUUUUGAUCAGGAAGAAAAGACUGAAAUUGGAAGAGAUUGUAGUGUGUACUGGCAUCAUAGUUUUUGCUUCAGUUUUGUGCUAAGUGUCACUCACCAGAUAUUAAUUAUAAAUGGAGUCUUUUUUAACCCUUUUGUUCAUAGAUGCUCUAUCUUGUUACAUAUAUUUAUACAAGUUAACAGUUUUAGCUAUCUGACAUCUAUUGACCAAGCAAGGUACCACACAUGGAGCUUGCAUUUUUCAUAACUUAUAUAAAUUACUAUAUAAUUCUUGCAUUACAGGCUCAGGUUGUAUGUUAUUUUUUGGAUUUAAAAAUGAUCCUUGAAGCUGGAGCUUGUCUAUUUUUUCCUGGAUUCAAUCAAUAAGUCCUUUGUUUUUAAUGGUUUUCUUCUGUUGCAAAGGAUGGUGCAUUCAGGUUUAUGCUUGUACUCUUUCCUCGGUGGAAAGUCUGUUGAUGCUAUCAAGAAUCCUGCUAGUAAGAAGGAUAUGUCGACUUCAACUGUAGAUCUUGGUAAUGCAAAUCUAAGUCAGAAUUUAUUAGAGGAUAAAUGUAAAGUGCAUGCACACGCAUACACUAUAUACACACAUAUAUUUAUAUAUAAAUAAGAUCACUCACUUAAAAGCUUCACCACCA